UACGUAGGUGGCAAGCGUUAUCCGGAAUUAUUGGGCGUAAAGCGCGCGCAGGCGGUUUCUUAAGUCUGAUGUGAAAGCCCACGGCUCAACCGUGGAGGGUCAUUGGAAACUGGGGAACUUGAGUGCAGAAGAGAAAAGCGGAAUUCCACGUGUAGCGGUGAAAUGCGUAGAGAUGUGGAGGAACACCAGUGGCGAGGGCGGCUUUUUGGUCUGUAACUGACGCUGAGGCGCGAAAGCGUGGGGAGCAAACAGG
rnacentral:rRNA from 1 species